rnacentral:rRNA from 1 species
AUGCACGCUGGCGGCGUGCCUAAUACCUGCCAGUCGAGCGAACAGACGAGGAGCUUGCUCCUCUGACGUUAGCGGCGGACGGGUGAGUAACACGUGGAUAACCUACCUAUAAGACUGGGAUAACUUCGGGAUACCGGAGCUAAUACCGGAUAAUAUAUUGAACCGCAUGGUUCAAUAGUGAAAGACGGUUUUGCUGUCACUUAUAGAUGGAUCCGCGCCGCAUUGCUAGUUGGUAAGGUAACGGCUUACCAAGGCAACGAUGCGUAGCCGACCUGAGAGGGUGAUCGGCCACACUGGAACUGAGACACGGUCCAGACUCCUACGGGAGGCAGCAGUAGGGAAUCUUCCGCAAUGGGCGAAAGCUUGACGGAGCAACGCCGCGUGAGUGAUGAAGGUCUUCGGAUCGUAAAACUCUGUUAUUAGGGAAGAACAAAUGUGUAAGUAACUAUGCACGUCUUGACGGUACCUAAUCAGAAAGCCACGGCUAACUACGUG